UGGGGAAUUUUGGACAAUGGACGCAAGUCUGAUCCAGCCAUGCCGCGUGCGGGAAGAAGGCCUUCGGGUUGUAAACCGCUUUUGUCAGGGAAGAAACGAGCUUCUCUAAUACAGAGACUUAAUGACGGUACCUGAAGAAUAAGCACCGGCUAACUACGUGCCAGCAGCCGCGGUAAUACGUAGGGUGCAAGCGUUAAUCGGAAUUACUGGGCGUAAAGCGUGCGCCGGCGGUUAUGCAAGACAGAUGUGAAAUCCCCGGGCUCAACCUGGGAACUGCAUUUGUGACUGCAUAGCAGGAGUGCGGCAGAGGGGGAUGGAAUUCCGCGUGUAGCAGUGAAAUGCGUAGAUAUGCGGAGGAACACCGAUGGCGAAGGCAAUCCCCUGGGCCUGCACUGACGCUCAUGCACGAAAGCGUGGGGAGCAAACA
rnacentral:rRNA from 1 species